UACAGAGGUCUCAAGCGUUGUUCGGAUUCAUUGGGCGUAAAGGGUGCGUAGGCGGCGCUGUAAGUCGGGUGUGAAAUUCGAGCUUAACUCCGAAACUGCAUUCGAUACUGCGGUGCUUGAGGACUGGAGAGGAGACUGGAAUUCAUGGUGUAGCAGUGAAAUGCGCAGAUAUCAGGAGGAACACCGAUGGCGAAGGCAGGUCUCUGGGCCAUAACUGACGCUGAGAAGCGAAAGCAUGGGGAGCGAACAGG
rnacentral:rRNA from 1 species